rnacentral:misc_RNA from 1 species
UCUCCCGUGAGGGAGCAGUCUCGCCUGACACUUGUAACAGGCAACGAGGGUUGCGUUCGUUUCCCCACUUAAGGGAACAGCUCAAGCCACGAACUGACGACGGCCAUGCAUCACCUGCCAUACACCCUCGAAGGCUUCCCGGGUUUCCCCGGGCGUGCAGUAUGGUUUCUAGCCUCGGUAAGGUUCUUCGCUUAGCGACGAAUUAAGCCUCAUGAUCCACCGCUUGUGCGAGCCCCCGUCUAUUCCUUUGAGUUUUAAGCUUGCGCUCGUACUACCCAGGCGGUCAACUUAACGCGUUAGCUUCGCCUCUGAGAGGGUCGAUACUCCCAAAAGCCAGUUGACAGCGUUUAGGGCGUGGACUAC